AACGAACGCUGGCGGCAUGCCUAACACAUGCAAGUCGAACGAGACCUUCGGGUCUAGUGGCGCACGGGUGCGUAACGCGUGGGAACCUGCCCUUAGGCUCGGGAUAACUCCCCGUAAGGGGUGCUAAUACCGGAUAAUGUCUUCGGACCAAAGAUUCAUCGCCGUUGGAUGGGCACGCGUUGGUUUAGCUAGGUGGUAGGGUAAAAGCCUACCAAGGAGAGGAUCCAUAGCUGGUCUGAGAGGAUGAUCAGCCACACUGGGAGUGAGACACGGCCCAGACUCUUACGGGAGGCAGCAGUGGGGAAUAUUGGAAAACGGGCGAAAGCCUGAUCCAGCAAUGCCGCGUGAGUGAUGAAGGCCUUAGGGUUGUAAAGCUCUUUUACCCGGGAUGAUAAUGACAGUACCGGGAGAAUAAGCACCGGCUAACUCCGUG
rnacentral:rRNA from 1 species